rnacentral:lncRNA from 10 species
GUGACCAGGCCCAGGGCUCCUUUGUGGUGGAAGCCAGUGGCUGGGAGCCCACCUGGAGAGUGUGGAGUGGGUGUGGGAGGGAGAGACAGGUGGGCGAGGUGUGGACACUCAACAUAGGAAAGUAUUUGGAGACAGUCACAGUUACACACUCAACAUCUGCUGGCACCUACCCAAGCCCAGAGCUCCCAGAGCCCCGCGGGCCCCCGAGGCACUCCCAGUCAAGCAUGGGAGACAGGCCAGCACACAGGUGAUCCGUGGUCGUGAUAAAUGGUCACAAGGGGCCGUGGGCACCCAGAAAAUGAGCUCCUACUCGGCCUUGGAGCCUGGAUCAGUUCCUCACUCUUCCCGGGAGCCUGAGAGUGAGGCCUUUGAAUGAUGCCCUGGACAGAGCUUGGAACAUGAAGGUGAAUACUGUUGUGGGGAGAAUGCAUCCCUUUGCCUGGCUCUGAGCCAGGGCCAGCUUUGGAUCCUGCUAGCCCCAUGGAUAUAGAGAGAUAAGCUUGAAAGAUGCCAGCAGGGCCUGCUAAAAGCCUGCAAAAAUGACAAGGAAGAUUACACAGCUGGAAAAAACUGUUUCAACAUUUCUUGUGACAUAAAAAAGCAAAGCCUGAAACAACAAAAAAACCUACACGUAAGAGACGAGAACAUCUGUGAAAAACCAGUGGGUGAAAAUCACAGGAAUCCCGGCUUUAAAUCCAUAUAAAGAAGACCUCCAGCAGCCAGAGUCAUCCAACAGCAAGACAGGCUUCUGGAGAGAGAGUGAGGUCCCAGUUCCUAAAAGUAUACAAGGGCUGCUUACCAGGAACGGGUACUGAGGUUUUAAUGAACUCAUUACUCAUUCCACUGUCAGCACUCACUCUGUGGGGGAGGCCAGCUUUCAUGUCAUGAGGACACUCAAGUAGCCCUCUGGAGAGGCUCUCAUGGUGAGGAACUAAGGCGUUCUACCAAUAACCAUGCAGUGUGCCAUCUUGGAAGCAGAUCUUCCAGCACCAGUCCAACCUUCAGAUGACUGCAGCCCAGGCCAACAUCUUGACUGCAACUUCAAGAAAGACCCCAAGCCAUAACCACUCAGCUAAGCCAUUUCCAAUUCCUGAUUCUCAAAACCUGUAUGAGAUAAUAAAAUUGUUUGUUGUUGUUUUAACC